UUACAAAGUAAAAUGAUUUAAUUUUGUAGUUGAAACCUAUCAUAUCAAACUUCAUUCGUUAAUAAAUAUUUUGAAAACAUUAGAAAUUAAUGAUUUUAAUUGUCUUUAUGGAGACGAUGUAAUAACUAACUGUUUAAUUGAUAAAUUAGAAUUUUUUUUUCAAUUUUUGAGAGUAAUAUCUUCAACUAGAUACGAAUUGUAGUAAUUUGACGUAUUGUUGAAAAAAGUAGGUCAAGUUAGAGCAGAGAAAAUAAAUGAUAGUCACAAAAAAAUAUCUUCUCGGCUUUGCAUCGAAGCGAAAACUUAAAAUAUAGUAAAAUAAUUUUAAUACGAAUAAGAAAUUUCUUCUUGCAAGGGGCGACUAAAGUGAUGGGAUCCUUGAUCUUUAUUGAAGUUAUUGAAUCUAAAUGUGAUAAAAAUCAAACGAGUUAAAAUUUAUACUAACUUAAAAAGAAUUAAGAAAAAAUGCAAAAAAUUCAUUGCCAUAUGCGGGUUGGAACCUCGUACCCCAAGCGUGUAAAACAUAAAUUUUACCAACUCGGCAACCGUACGUUGCUUCCGGCGGUUGAAAAAUUGGCUAUUUAAGCUAGUUCAAAUUUCAAAGUUAUUUUUCUCGACUUAAAAGAAACAAACAUAUUUAAAUAAGUUUAACUAUCUAUACUAUAUCAAUUUUAAUUUAUAUAAUAUUUAUGAAAAUCUGUACUCCCCUUGUCAGGUAUUUUAAAAUAAAAUAAAAUACAAAACCCAGAAUUUUAACACAAAAAUAGCAUAUUUUUGCAUACGGUAGUCAUUUUUACCAUGAAGACAAAUCCAGAGGUCAAAUUUUUUUUUUUCACAUUAAAGUAUAUUACAUAAGCUUUAAUUUAAGAUAUAUUUAAAAGUGUCAGUAUUUCCGGAAUACUUUCAAAAAUUAAAUUGAAAAUAUCGUAGUAACAAUACGCAUGUUUAAAGUUUUGACCCCCCUUGUUAAAGGGGUAUGAUCCGAUUUACAAAAAAAGCGUGCCAGAUGAAAGGGGUAUAUCAAUAUUUAUUAUAAAAAAAUAAUAAUAUAGAUCCAUACAUUUUUCCAAAAGUUAUAUAAAAUAUAAAUUAAAUAAUAUAACAUAUAAAAUCGAGAUUUUUUUCACGGAAAUCGUACGUUUUUCUUUAACUUUGAUGUCCGUUUUCACCACGAAGACAAGUCCAGAGGUCAAAUUUUUUUUUUUCAAAUUAAAGUAUAUUACAUUAGCUUUAAUUUAAGGUAUAUAUAAAAUUGUCAGUCUUUCCGGAACAUUUUCAAAAGUUAAGUUGAAAAAGUUAAUUUUUUGUAAAAAAGUUACCAUUUUGAAACCCCAUCCUUUGGGCUGUUAAAGGGUCAAA